rnacentral:rRNA from 1 species
GACGAACGCUGGCGGCGUGCCUAACACAUGCAAGUUGAGCGACGAACCAGGGCUUGCCCUGGGGCAAAGCAGCGAACGGGUGAGUAACACGUGGGUAACCUACCCCGAUAACCGGGACAACCCGAGGAAACUCGGGCUAAUACCGGAUGUGCUCACUGGACUUCGGUUCAGUGCGUAAAGGAAGCUUCGGCCUCCGUAUCGGGAGGGGCCCGCGGCCCAUUAGUUUGUUGGUGAGGUAACGGCUCACCAAGACCGCGAUGGGUAGCUGGUCUGAGAGGACGAUCAGUCACACUGGGACUGAGACACGGCCCAGACUCCUACGGGAGGCAGCAGUGGGGAAUCUUGCGCAAUGCGCGAAAGCGUGACGCAGCAACGCCGCGUGGGGGAAGAAGGCCUUCGGGUUGUAAACCCCUUUCAGGAGGGACGAAGGUUCGGCGGUGAAUAGCCGUCCGGACUGACGGUACCUCCACAAGAAGCCCCGGCUAACUACGUG